UCUGGUGCUUCUGGGUUGAACUCUGACGUCUGGGGGCGUGGACUGAUGUCUUCUAGAGCUCCAUUAAUUGGGAACGUUGAAUGGGAGUUGUGGAGUUGAUAGAACUCAGGGAUGUGAAUUGCCUCUGUUCGACUGUUGUAGAGUUUGUGAGCACAUGAAGUUGGUAGACCAAGUUGGGUUUUGAUAAUCAACAAAGGUAAAUUGUGAUAUCAAAUUUGAAACUGUGCGUUGCUGGUUGUCUAUCCAGAAUGGGAUGUUUGCACUAUAGUUGUUGUUAAGAUGAUGUGCUAGAUGUCACAUGGAAUUGAAGUGACAAUGUGGUACUUUUAUCGAUUGUUAAAUUUGGGACUUUGGCUCAGAUUUGAGUCUACAGAUAGGUUGAGAUCGAGCGUGAGGAGGCGUCGAGGCAUAGUGUUCAUCCACUUCCGACUUCCUGUGGGUUACGUGUUUAACCUACUUGUACUUUAUUUCAAUUCACUGUUUAGAUUGCUCUGAUGACUAUCUUUCAGUUGUGUUAUAAGAAAGAUAGUUUGGUAUUUAAGAUUUGAGUUUCAGAUUUGUUUUA